CCUACGGGGGGCAGCAGUGGGGAAUAUUGCGCAAUGGGCGAAAGCCUGACGCAGCGACGCCGCGUGAGGGAUGAAGGUCUUCGGAUCGUAAACCUCUGUCAGCAGGGAAGAACGGUCACUGUGCUAAUCAGCAGUGAAUUGACGGUACCUGCAAAGGAAGCACCGGCUAACUCCGUGCCAGCAGCCGCGGUAAUACGGAGGGUGCGAGCGUUAAUCGGAAUUACUGGGCGUAAAGCGCGCGUAGGCGGUAUGUCAAGUCAAGGGUGAAAUCCCCGGGCUCAACGUUGGAACUGCCUUUGAAACUGGCAGACUGGAGUGUGUGAGAGGAUAGUGGAAUUCCAGGUGUAGGAGUGAAAUCCGUAGAUAUCUGGAGGAACAUCAGUGGCGAAGGCGACUAUCUGGCACAUAACUGACGCUGAGGAGCGAAAGCGUGGGUAGCAAACAGGAUUAGAUACCCCAGUAGUC
rnacentral:rRNA from 1 species